rnacentral:rRNA from 1 species
GGCUUAAUUUGACUCAACGCGGGAAAUCUUACCGGGUCCGGACACACUGAGGAUUGACAGAUAUACGUACCAAUCAUUCGUGGUUGGUACUGAAAGAUGCUAGUUCUUUCAUGAUUAUGUGAUAGGUGGUGCAUGGCCGUUCUUAGUUCGUGGAGUGAUCUGUCUGCUUAAUUGCGUAUCAUUAAAGAGACCUAGUAUACGCGUAAGAUAUCGUUUACGGUUCGUGACCCCCUUCGGGCGUGUGUCGCACGUACGUAUCAUACGCACUGGUCUCCGAUAGCAACGAACGUGACCGUACUCUAUUGUUGCAGCGAAUGUAUGCAUCUUCGG